rnacentral:tRNA from 1 species
ACGGCGGUAGCUCAGCGGUAGAGCAACUCGUUUACACCGAGUGGGUCGGGGGUUCGAAACCCUCCCGCCGUACCA